UCGUUUAAAAAACUGCCACAGAGGAAGCUCCGAGAUUUCUCAGCAUUGUGGAGACCCGUGGACUCACUGCACACGAUGGUGCUCUGUGACUUCCCGGUCUUAAAUAAAGCAGCAUUGGCUUUUUCUGGGUGACAAGACUCCAAGAUUCCAGUCCCUUGAAAGCCUCUAGCGUGGCCACUGUGUGCAUCACUGAGAACUGUCGCCGGAAGCUUGGGCCACUCACUCUGCUUGGAAUUCGAUUCGGGCUUCCCAGGUUCCCAGAGUUCUCCAGGGACUGGGCUCUUUGACGAAUGGAAAGGAAAGGGCACUCACCUGCUCCUGUGAUCUUGCUUGCUUCACAACCGGGAACUGGUUACCUCUCAUUUUAGAUGCCCUGGCAUCACACUGAAAACUCACCAGGGGUCGGCAGAUGCCUCAGUGGCUAAAGGUACCUGCUACCAAGUCUGCGCACCCGAGGUCUGUCUCCUCAGCCUGUGUGGUCCCCACAGGUCUCAUACAGGGAUGCAAACUGUGGGAGAGGAGACUGAAAACCAUGUGUGAUUGACGUCGUCAACCUGGACGAGACUUCAGUCUUCUACCAAGAGUGCUACUCCAUGGCCUUGGCUUUAGUCGACAAAUAAAAAUCGAGAGCUCCUCAAGCUUCUCCUAGAUUUCCAGUGUUGACAUCCAGCUCAAUACGAGAAAGCUUUCAACUCUUGCAAAAUGAGCUUCUGAUACAGAUAAAAAAUGUUUGUUUGUUCUGGGUCUCUACAUCUCAACUCACCUGGGAACUGAAGAAUAACACUGCAUGACCGAGAGGUUCUACACUCCGGGAAAAAGGGAAAUGAGUACUCAACACGGUCCACGAUGGGGGCGUGUUGUUUCACAGGAUGGGAGAGAAACUGCGUGCAAAACACACUACACCACCAAUGAGCUUCCUGUCGACUGCACUUCCCAGAAAGGAACAGAAGUGACUUGUCAUCACAGAACACCCUCUCUAGGGACCCUGUCUUCUCUGCCAUAGUCUCUUGGUUUCCAGCUGCUGGCUUGCUUAUUUGUAAAUGACUCCAUAUGAUGCUGUCAGUUUCUAUCACAGUCACUAACUUUUUCCCUUGUGCCUUCUUCCCUAUUCCGAAGGCACAUGGAGAGCAGGCAGUACAUCGGGCAUUUCCUUUGGCUCCCUGAGAAAUAACACUUUGGCAUAAAAAGUUACUUACAAGUGCUAUUGAGAUUCAUGGCACUGAGAGAUAGAGUGAGUUCUGGCGAAGAUUUCACUCUGAGACACCAGCAGCUACCCUAAGAAGCCAACAUUUGGAAAGCAGUUAUAAAUGCAUAGUAGAAAGUAGGGGACAGAGGGCUGGGAGCAGAGGCAGCCAGCCAGAGGCCUGGGCCCUCUAAGCAGACAGCAAAACUUGGGGAGGUAGGAACUUGUCUUUGUUUAAGUAAGCAGUGACAGAGGGACAGGAUUUUUUUUCAUAAUAUGUUAAUCAGUGACUCCUAACUCGUUUUAUGGGCCCCGUUUAUCUAAGAGACAGUUUCACCCAGCCUCUUUCUUCUUUCCCACAUUAGCUGCCAUGUCAACUCUGCUUUAAGCCAACAAUACAGAAUAUAUAGAUUCAAAUGUUCAUACCUAUUUAUAACAGAUGUUCAGGAGCUGUAUGGGGACUUUUAGUUCUGAGCAGCUAUAUUAUUUGGUGAAACUGAAAUGCUUUUAUGACUGUCUGCCAUUUAUAAGGAAAACAUUUCUUAGUUCUUCAUAGAAAAAGAGCACUUUUUACUUAUUUCAAAAGAAGAUUUUUAUGCUCAGCAGCUACUGCUCAGGGUUGCAGUGGAAUGGCAGCACACAUUCAUCAACACAGAUUUACUGGACAAAUAUUUGGAAAGAAAACUUGGAAUCUGCUCUUUAUGUGACUUCAAGGGAACAGGGCACUGCCAUUACUCCGGUCACUGCCGUACAGUAGCCUUUAGAGCUUACUGGUCUUAUCUAACUGACAUGUGCCAGCUUUCGGUCAGAUUUCCCCUGCAGAGCACCCACCUCGACCCUGCACCAAACCCUACUACCCACUGCUCUGCUAACAAUCAGGUUUUAAUUGCCCUGAGGAAUACACUUCAGAGCGGUUCUGAAAGAAUAGAGGUUAAUAUAUUUGAAUGAACCAUUUUCAGAUUACCAUGCAAUUUCUGCCAUCUUAAUCAAAUCUAUAAGGAUAUGAUUAUACUGUAUUUUUAUUCUCACUCUUUUCCUGAAACUGUGAAACCAUAUUAGGGAUGGAUACUGUUUCCAGUGUUAUCUUUAGCAUUAUCAUCUUCAUUUUCAAAGUGAAACUUGGUUUUCCUGAAAUUGUCUUCUGAUGAGAACAUUUUAUUACAGAGCAGAAAGCGAACAUGUUGGAGCUGGGAGGAACAGUGUGGCUCUCUUAAGCCUUUCCUGAACAAAUGUCGUGGAAAGACAAGUAUUUGUUACAGCAUCAUGGGGGCAAAGGAAGCAUACAUUUUGUAAUCAAAAGACCUCGGUUGACAUCUUAUCUCUGAAAUCCAACUUGUAAAUGUUGCCUUAUCUAGAAAUUGAAUUAAGUGAAAGCAAUGCUCAAACUAAAAUAUAACAUUGAUUACAUGAA